GUAUCCUGGUCAUGCCUCACAUCAUGGGCAUGGAGAAGAUGUCAUCCAUAUUUGGAGCCAAUUCACUCAUUCUUUCCAUCUCCAUGAUCAUAUUCGGUCCUUUGUUCGGCUUUAUCAGGGACGCCAGUAGGAGUUACGUCGCAAAUAUGCUGGCGAUGGGCUGCUGUGGGGGUCUGAGCGUCCUGCUUUGGUGCUUCAUGCCCGCCGCGAUGGCCUACGACGAGAGGAAAGAGGCUGAGCAAAGGAGAGAAGAGGAGAGAGAGGAGCUGACUGAGGUGUGAAGGAUAGAUAUAUAGAUAGAUAGACAGAAUGUAUAUAAGUAAUAACAAAAUUAUGGAUAUACAAUGCAUCCAUUGUGUUGACCCAUACUUAUAGUAUCUGAGAGGUUUAUUAUCACUUCUUUUAUAAUGCUUAUUAUAAUGCUACGAACAUUUAUUAUUUCUUACUACCCAUCACUGGAAUCGAACCAAUGCGCUGGCGUCAUUGCCUUCGAUCCUCGCCACCCUAAGGUCUAUAAGAAAUGAGACAAGUCACCCAUAUGCCUUCCUCCCCCAAUCUGGCUCUGUAUGGCGGUAGUUGUGACUUUAUCAGACCAGAGUGCGUUACUUAUAUUAAGGCAGAUUGCUUUCUACCCAGAACAAGAAUCAAGGCAAUGUAUUGGCGUUGUUGCCCACCCCGCCAUCCAGGACUCCAUCAGGACCGAGGCAGGAGAAGGUAAAUGAGGAAGAGGUGGAGGAUGAUGGAGAAGGGGAAGAAUUGAUAAGAGGAAAGCGUAGCAGAAAAAAAAGAUACUGAGGUAACAGGAGGAACUGAAAAUAUGAUACAGUCGUAGAGAGAAGAGGAAGAAAAGGAAAGGAGUAAGAAAGUUAACAAGAGGCAUACAAGAGAAUUAUUAUCAUAACGCUCAAGAAUAUUUCAACAAUGUCGAUUUAUAACCUCAUUCUACGCCCUUCUCCAUCAUACAAACCCACUGUCCUCUCAAUACCUGUAUGAUGGGACAGCACUCAGGACUCAUUGUCUUGUUAGGUAUUCCUCUCAUCACCACCGACUCUUUGGUUACUUCUCCUCCUCCUUCUCUUCAGCCCAGAGGCACAGAGGAACAGCAGUCAACAGCUUCUCCCAAACCAGCGUGAGUUUAUCUGUGGUCGAGAGAGAGAGAGAGAGAGAGAGAGAGAGAGAGAGAGAGAGAGAGAGAGAGAGAGAGAGAGAGAGA